rnacentral:rRNA from 1 species
UACGGAGGGAGCUAGCGUUGUUCGGAAUUACUGGGCGUAAAGCGUACGUAGGCGGUUAUUCAAGUCAGAGGUGAAAGCCCGGGGCUCAACCUGGGAAUGGCCGUCGAAACUGGCGAACUGGAGUGUGGCAGAGGGGGGUGGAAUUCCGCGUGUAGCAGUGAAAUGCGUAGAGAUGCGGAGGAACACCGAUGGCGAAGGCAGCCCCCUGGGCUGACACUGACGCUCAGGCACGAAAGCGUGGGGAGCAAACAGG